AAGUCUUGAUUUCUAACUUAGUCUCUGUGUAGCUUCGCUCUCGUUUUCUGUUUGUAGAGUUGUUUCGUCAGGUCUGCAUCCCUGAGAACCCAUGCUCGCCUUGUCUGGGUCACUGGCUGCUGUGCACUUGCUCACGGGAUUCCUUCAGUCUCUGUUUUGCUUAUGUGAGGUCAGCAGUUAUGUUCCUCGUCAUUCUGGAGUUCAUAAAUGGCGUGACUCACUCAGACACUGGCGAGGGCACAGUUGGAGAGAGAAACUGUCAAGUUCUUGGUGUUAAGUGUGGGUGGCAUAAAUUUUGGGAAAGCGACAUCGCUGUUCCAGGUACCAGGACCACAGCGACUCACAGAAGAAAGAGUUAAUUUGGGUCUUACAGUUUCAGAGGAGGAUGCAUCCUUGAGACACUGAUUCAGAACCAGCCAAUUAUCCCUACCAAACGAGGAGACUCGCUGCGACCUUUAUAUUGGACUCUCCUGCUCCCAGAGUAGAAAUAAAUUUCUGUUCUUUAUCAA